GCGCAGCAGUCGAGAAUACUCCGCGAUGCCCGAAAGGGUGACGGGGGAUUCCAAGUGCCUACGCUUAGCGUAGGCUGUUCAGGUGCCUAAAAAGCACCUGGAGGAAGGGCUGGGUAAGACGGGUGCCAUCUGUGGCAGCAGCCAAGAUUUGGCUUGCUACUGCAAGGCAUAAGCCGCCGCGGUAAUACCCGCAGCCCCGAGUGGUAGUCGCUUUUAUGGGCCUAAAGCGUCCGUAGCCGGUCUGGUAAAUGCCCUGGGUAAAUCGUGGGGCUUAACCUCACGAAUUCCGGGUAGACUGCCAGACUUGGGACCGGUUGAGGGAGAGGGUAC
rnacentral:rRNA from 1 species